rnacentral:rRNA from 1 species
UACGGAGGGUGCAAGCGUUAUCCGGAUUCACUGGGUUUAAAGGGUGCGUAGGUGGGUCUGUAAGUCAGUGGUGAAAUCCCCGAGCUUAACUUGGGAACUGCCGUUGAUACUAUAGAUCUUGAAUAUCGUGGAGGUAAGCGGAAUAUGUCAUGUAGCGGUGAAAUGCUUAGAUAUGACAUAGAACACCAAUUGCGAAGGCAGCUGGCUACACAUAUAUUGACAUUGAGGCACGAAAGCGUGGGGAUCAAACAGG